rnacentral:rRNA from 1 species
GAAGCGGCAACAGCUCAAAUUUGAAAUCUGGCGCAAGCCCGAGUUGUAAUUUGUAGAGGAUGCUUCAGGGCAGCGGCCGGUCUAAGUUCCUUGGAACAGGACGUCAUAGAGGGUGAGAAUCCCGUAUGCGACCGGUUGGCACCCGUCACGUAGCUCCUUCGACGAGUCGAGUUGUUUGGGAAUGCAGCUCUAAAUGGGAGGUAAAUGCCUUCUAAAGCUAAAUACCGGCCAGAGACCGAUAGCGCACAAGUAGAGUGAUCGAAAGAUGAAAAGCACUUUGGAAAGAGAGUUAAAAAGCACGUGAAAUUGUUGAAAGGGAAGCGCAUGCAACCAGACUUGUCGGUGGUGUUCCGCCGGUCUUUUGACCGGUCUACUCGCCGCCGGCAGGCCAGCAUCGCUUGGGAGCGCCGGAUAAAGGUGGGAGGAAUGUGGCCCCCUCGGGGGUGUUAUAGCCUCCUACGUAAUACGGCGCCUCCCGAGUGAGGUCCGCGCUUCGGCUAGGAUGCUGGCGUAAUGGUUGUCUGCGGCCCGUCUUGAAACACGGACCAAGGAGUCUAACAUCUAUGCGAGUGUUCGGGUGUUAAACCCCUACGCGUAAUGAAAGUGAACGGAGGUGGGAACUUUUUGUGCACCAUCGACCGAUCCUGAUGUCUUCGGAUGGAUUUGAGUAAGAGCAUAGCUGUUGGGACCCGAAAGAUGGUGAACUAUGCCUGAAUAGGGUGAAGCCAGAGGAAACUCUGGUGGA